UACGAAGGGGGCUAGCGUUGCUCGGAAUCACUGGGCGUAAAGCGCACGUAGGCGGCUUUUUAAGUCAGGGGUGAAAUCCUGGAGCUCAACUCCAGAACUGCCUUUGAUACUGGGAAGCUUGAGUCCGGGAGGGGUGAGUGGAACUCCGAGUGUAGAGGUGAAAUUCGUAGAUAUUCGGAAGAACACCAGUGGCGAAGGCGGCUCACUGGCCCGGUACUGACGCUGAGAUACGAAAGCGUGGGGAGCAAACAGG
rnacentral:rRNA from 1 species